GUCCGUCGCUAAUCAUUUUGCCUCAGGCAUUAUGAGGUGUAGCGAAUAAGCCGUAAUCUUUGAUCUUUUAUUUCAAACAAGUCCCCUUGACAGGGGUUCCACAGAAGGUGCAAGUCCUGUACAUUGAGAUAAAUGAUCGAUAUUUGCGUGCUUUAGAGUCGGGUUGUUUGGGAUCGCAGCCCAAAGUCGGUGGUAAACUUCAUCUAAGACUCAAUAUUGCCACGAGACCGAUAGCAAACAAGUACUGUGAAGGAAAGUUGCAAAGCACUUUGAAGAGAGAGUUAAAGAGGACGUGAAACCGAUGAGGUGGAAACGGAUAGAGUCGGCGUAUCUUUCAAGUAUUCACUUACAUUAUUUUUAUGUUGUGAUCUCUGAGCUCCAGAUUGGGACAGAGGGAAGCAGCAUAAUUUUCUGUGAUGCAUUUACUUGUUUGGUGCUUGGGGAUGUUUGAGUCAGAUUUGUAACCGCUGUUUUGAGGCCAGCUUGCUGGUACCCAAACGGUGUUAGCAUUUUUUGUCUUGGACAUUUGAGUAUGGCUUCGGGCAUUUAUUGGUUCGAGCUGAGUGUAAGUUACGGUCGCAUGCGACACGUGCUUUUCAAUUAGUUCGGUCCAGUUACUGCUCUCGUACUCCUUCCCCAUGUAAAAGCCGGUCAUCUAUCCGACCCGUCUUGAAACACGGACCAAGGAGUUUAUCGUGUGCGCAAGUUUUUGGGUGUUAUAAACCUAAAAGCGAAAUGAAAGUAAAUGUCUCUUUAGAGUCUGAUGUGCGAUCUUGUAAAAAAGUGCAGCAUGGCCCCAUUCUAACUGUUUACAGUAGGGUGGCGGAAGAGCGUACGCGGUGAGACCCGAAAGAUGGUGAACUAUUCCUGAGCAGGACGAAGCCAGAGGAAACUCUGGUGGAAGUCCGAAGCGGUUCUGACGUGCAAAUCGAUCG
rnacentral:rRNA from 1 species